rnacentral:lncRNA from 1 species
GUUAGGACAGGUAUUUACCAGCACAUGGGGUCGGUUGUGCUGAUGCUACACUAUGUGCAUCUUUUUGCACAUAUCAGGGAGCAGCUUUUGGACCGCAGCAGUAUUGAGUGGGAGCUAUCUUCAGUCCAGGAAUCACGAGAUAGCCUAGCUGGCGUUCGCAGGCCGAAGUCCCUUCUAUGUUUCAGUUUAUUUUCUUUGUAUAGAGACAAACAUUAUGUUAUUUUAUUUCAGACUUGUUUUUAGUACUCUAUAGCAGUCCGUGAGCUAGUGACACCAUACUCUGGGUAGAAAUGUGUUUCAACUUCCGCAUUUUGAUUUCAGUUAUAUAAGCUUAAAUGUCUUCCGCCUUUAUUUAAUUGCUUUCGUUUGUUUUAUACUGUCAUCAGAAAAAUGUUUGAAUGUUUGGUUUGCCUA